UCUUACUACAUAGUCCGCCCGGCCGCAGUCGGAGUAUUUCCCCUCAGCCUGUUCUUGGUGCUUUGCCGUAUUGAAAGCCAACAUAGCUUUGCUUUGUCUUCCAAAGAAGCUUCCCUAAUGUGAGCAGGACAGAAUUAAAGGGAAACAUGAAGAGAAGGAGAACCCAGGCUCCUGCGUGGAAAACCGCCCAUGCGUAAUGAGACGACCCGCUCCGCCAUUCUCAAUUCUCCGACGCCGUUGGCUCUGGUAAAAAUGGAUGAAGCAGCUGGUGGAGUACACGGGACCAUUCAGGGUCUGGUCUACAGCUUCUUUUGGAGAAAGACGGUGACGAAGAUCCAGGUUGUGAGGGCAUCGACUAAACAGCUAAACGGUGACAUCUAGUGGUGAUUUCUAGUUUGAGUACUCACGGUGAACGAGUGGGCAGCCUACAAGGGUGAACGAGUACCUGUUCCUACCAACGCCACACUGAACUUGCGCAAUCCAACGUCAUGCGUGCAAUUUAAUGUACAUUCAUGAUCUUAAAAUAAGCCUGAUGCUGGAAACACACAUGCCCUCAGAACUCUUUCACUUUUAAUGUUACAAAAGCAGCAACUGAAGCCCUAACUGGGCUUUAAGCUAAGAAUGUAUUUUAGAUAUUGUUUCCCCCACCAUGUAAAUGUACAAGUGCUGUCUUGAUUUUAAUUUAAUUUAUUUAUUUUAAUUUAUUCACCCUGAAGGAUUUUUUACAAUUCGUUUUUUUUUUCCUUUUUUCAUUUCUAUAGUUUUUUUUUUUUUUAUCAAAAAAGUGGCAGCCCGUUUGCAGAUUCAGGUUUAUUGCGUCAGUUUGAAAACUGUGAAAAAUGCUGUCACAGUAUAUUAUUUUUGAUAGAUAAUUCAUUAUGUUUGGUCUGCAGUGACCUUACAAACCUUCUUUCACACGUUACUUGUAGAAAACUCUUCAAAAUCACUUCAGUGUGUCUGGUAUUAAUGUAAUGGCGAAAGAAAAUGUGAACAUUUAGACAGUUUAGGAAACAGUGUCAAUAAAGAUGCUGUAAACAUUAAAACUGUUACUUGCCGGCAUCUGCACACUCCUGCUCCAGUCUGCACAAGUGAAGCAGUCAGUACAAUACGUCGGAGCAUUAGCUUCAUUGUUAUAUAUCAUAUAUCAGUAACUCCUUUACUUUUAGAUCGUGCAUAAUUGUUUAAAGCAUAUGCAUGUAGACAUGUUGCUGAUGUAGCAAUUACUUGUGAAAUAAAACAAUAUCCAAAACGUGUUGAAUCUGUUUCUUCGAUUUGCCAUCUUUAAAUACGUGCAAUUAAUAGAUGACGUGUGACAAGUUUUUGUAUCAUUUCUUGUUACCUAUUAAAGAAAAAAAAAAAACAUAUUUCUCAGCGAAAAAAACGACGGCCAAAUUGUAGACUACAAACCGAGUAGGGAGGAAAAACGGUAGAAAAGCAAACGAAACCUAAAUGCAAUUAGUUUCUCGAUAAUUCUGAAACCAUCCUACAGGUAGGCCUAUGUUCACAGCAACCCACUGCAACGUUUCUCUUCCUGGAAAAUAUAUUUAUUCGUAUCGAUUCACAAUUUUUCUGCAUGUGCUAAGUAAAUAAACAAAUAACGCUAACGUUAAGAAGGGAUAACUUCAAGGAACAAUGACUUCAGACUAACAAGAAAAGAUAGAAAAGAUAGAAAAGGGGCCUUUAGAAAAUAUAGACGGUAGACAUAUAUUAUAUAUAUCUAAAAAAAAAUAGAGAGAUUUAUAUAGAAGAAAAAAAUGAAAAGAAAAACGCUAUCAAAAGGAUUUCUUUGGCAUUACAAAAUGUUCGAAAUCUCGCGAUGGAUUUAUUUUUUAUUUUUGUAAAACUGUAAUUCGUUUGUUUUUUUCCUCUGUGUGUGUCUGUGUGUGUGUGUGUGUGUGUGUGUGUGUGUGUGCCUGUCUAUAUGGGUAUUCACUAAUGUUAUUACAUUUCCAUUCGAAAAAAGUGAUUCUUCCAGGUAAGCUAUACGGACCUGUACUGCCUGCAGAAAAAUGCACGAACAGUCAGGAAAAUUUCUUCAUCUUUUUGCGUUUUGAUAACAACACAACCCAAUAAUUGUUACAACAAAGUUACGCUAUAUUUUGGGGGUCAGUCAUUGCGAAAUAACUGUUAUAAGAAAAGCUGAAAAAAAUAAAGACUGUCAUGGAUUUUAUAGAAUAAGCUGUCCACUCUUUCUUUGAUUCACACUUUUGAGUUGUUUUGGUUUUUCCCCACUUUUUUAUUGAAGAAAAAGCGAGUAGGACAGGAGUAGGCCUAUACCUUUACCUUGUUUCUUGUCGUGUGGGAGCAUAUGACUGUGAUUGCAUUGUUUAGGAUCUAUGUGCUCUCAUGUUUAAAUGUAGCUUGAUUUACUCCUCAGAAAGACGAUGCCACUGUAAUUGUGAGGCCGACUGUUAAAAAAAACUGUUUAAAAUAUUAAAUAAAUGUUGUUCCUGUUGCUUUUU